GAUGAACGCUGGCGGCGUGCCUAAUACAUGCAAGUCGAGCGAACAGAUAAGGAGCUUGCUCCUUUGACGUUAGCGGCGGACGGGUGAGUAACACGUGGGUAACCUACCUAUAAGACUGGGAUAACUUCGGGAAACCGGAGCUAAUACCGGAUAACAUUUGGAACCGCAUGGUUCUAAAGUGAAAGAUGGUUUUGCUAUCACUUAUAGAUGGACCCGCGCCGUAUUAGCUAGUUGGUAAGGUAACGGCUUACCAAGGCGACGAUACGUAGCCGACCUGAGAGGGUGAUCGGCCACACUGGAACUGAGACACGGUCCAGACUCCUACGGGAGGAAGCAGUAGGGAAUCUUCCGCAAUGGGCGAAAGCCUGACGGAGCAACGCCGCGUGAGUGAUGAAGGGUUUCGGCUCGUAAAACUCUGUUAUUAGGGAAGAACAAACGUGUAAGUAACUGUGCACGUCUUGACGGUACCUAAUCAGAAAGCCACGGCUAACUACGUG
rnacentral:rRNA from 1 species